CCCACCCCUGAGCGGCGGGUGGGGGCCUAAAGUAAAAAAGGGGGAGAGGACCUAUUGUCCUCCCCACCCACCGCUCAGGGGUGGGUGGGGGCCCUAAAUAAAAAUUGGGGGGGGGACCUAAUUUCCUCCCCCCUGGCCCCCACCCCUGAGUGGUGGGUGGGGGCCCUAAACAAGAAUAAGUGGGGGGGACCUAAUGUCCUUCCCCCCUGGCCCCCACCCCUGAGCGGUGGGUGGGGGCCCUAAAUAAAAAUUGAGGGGGGGGGACCUAAUGUCUUCCCCCCUGGCCCCCCACCCCUGAGCGGUGGGUGGGGGCCCUAAGUACAUUAGGUCCCCCCACCC